rnacentral:rRNA from 1 species
AUGAGAAGCAUUCCCAUAAUUGUGUUGCUGUUGUGCUGUUACCAAGGUUAUCUUUUCCGGUCAGAAUUUUCGAAAACUAUCCGGUUACUGGAAAUCUCGUCUGCAUAUAUUAUUAUCAUAAACCUGGAUGUAGGGAGGGCAAACUAUUGCGUGGACGUAGGUCGACGUGCCAGCACCUCGAUUACGCAAGAUUUAUUUGGUGCCGCAGGAUUACACAAGGUUGAUGCAAGCCAGCUGCAGGAGAGGGAGCUCCAGGCAUAUAGGAAGUCUGAGAAGGAGGAGAUGAACACAAUUUUAGACCGGUACCUCGAUUUCUGCAUAUCUUAUCUCAAGUCUCAAGCUGAAGCAAUGGUGGUCGAGAGUAACAGCCCUGCGAGUGGCAUCGUCAAGCUGAUUGAUCAGAGUCACAUCACAAACCUUGUCAUGGGAACAUCUUCCAUCUCACCGAAGAGGAAAGUACCAAAAUCAAAAGUCGCAGCCAUCGUGCAUCUACAGGCUAAACCAUAUUGCCAGAUCUUCUAUAUUUGCAACGAAACUCUUGCUUGUUCUAGGGAGGCCACUCAGCUUUCUACAAAAGUAGAGUCACCCCGAAGCAGCUGCACCAACACUGAUUCGCGACUCGAGUUCCCUAAAAGAUGCCAAUCACUAUCACCAGGGUAUACAGGUUUCUUAGGCUCCACAGAUCAACAAGCCCAUCAACGACAGUCCAAGCAGCCAGUUAGCUAUACAUAUCCCUGCCAGCAAAGCACUGGAGGACCCUCAAUGGCUCUGCAGGAUUUAAAUACUAUGAAUGAUUCACCGUUACAUGUUUCGAUUGCCAGCUCUAAAGAACAUCGACACUCUAUGGUAAAAACUAGUGUGCAGCUUGAUGUGUUUGAGCAACUACACCGAGUCCGCAAUGAACUGGAGAGCUCGAAAAGAGAAGCAUCCGAGGGCCAGCAGAAAGCCGCGAGGAAUCUGUUUGAAGCUUCUAUGACGUUCAAAGCACGGGAGAAUGCACUCCGCAAAGAAAAAAGAGAGGUAGAGGAUAGACUGACGAGAGAAAACACUGGACUCAGAAAAGAACACCUUUAUAUAUGCAAAGAGCUACAAAAGGCAAAUGAGCAAAGAGCAGAACUGGAGAACAGUGUAUUUGGCCCUACUAGUGAUGUUGCCUUAACAGAGUUCAGCUACACAGAGAUAAAUGAAGCGACGGCCAACUUUGAUGACUCCAGAAAGAUUGGGGUUGGUGGGUGUGCAACCGUCUACAAAGGAUUUCUACGACAUACUACGGUAGCCAUAAAGAAAUUCAACCGCGAAGGCACAACAGGAGAUAAAGAGUUUAAUGAUGAGGUAGAAACACUUCGUAUGAUGAGGCAUCCGAACCUUGUGACCCUAAUAGGAGUGUGCAUGGAGGCCAAAGCGUUGAUUUUUGAAUUCUCGUCGAAUGGAAGCCUAGAGGAUUGUCUGCAGUGCGAUGACCAAAGGGAGGUACUCUCAUGGAGAAUGUGCAUCAAAAUCGCUGCCGAUAUCUGCACAGGACUUAUCUUCCUCCACUCCAACAAACCAAGAGGCAUUGCACAUGGUGAUCUCAAGCCUGACAAUGUCCUUCUCGACGCAAGCUUCGUUUGCAAACUGGCAGACUUUGGGAUCUCUCAUCACUUGAAUGUAACAAACACCACUAUCACCCCAUAUCACCGAACAAACCAACUCAAGGGCACCAUGGGAUACAUGGACCCGGCAUACAUUGCCUCAGGGGAGCUCACAGCACAGUAUGACGUCUACUCCUAUGGAGUAGUGUUAAUGCGAUUGCUAACUAAUAAGAGCCCCCUAGGUCUCCCGCAUGUUGUGGAGGCAGCCAUUAGAGAAGGCACGUUGCGACAUCUAAUUGAUACUUCUGCUGGGGAAUGGCCACUUGGGUGUGCUGAAGAGUUGGCAAGACUAGCACUGCGUUGUUGCCAGUUAGAACGAAAGGAGCGGCCUAAUCUUGCAAAGGAGGUUUGGGGUGUCUUGCAAGCUAUAAUGAACUGUCAAGACCAAAAAUAUGGGCCACCGAUGUUUUUCAUUUGUCCAAUGACACAGGAGAUCAUGAGGGAUCCACACAUUGCUGCUGAUGGAUUCACAUAUGAAGGUGAUGCCAUAAAGGACUGGUUUCAAAUGGGGAACAAAAUUUCCCCCAUGGCCUACGUCAACUUCGCGCACCAUGAGUUGAUACCAAACAAUGCCCUUCGUUUUGCAACUCAAGAAUGGAAAAAGCGACAACAACUGUAA